rnacentral:rRNA from 1 species
GACGAACGCUGGCGGCGUGCUUAACACAUGCAAGUCGAACGGAAAGGCCCCUUUUGGGGUCCUCGAGUGGCGCACGGGUGAGUAACACGUGAGUAACCUGCCCUUGACUUCGGGAUAACUUCAGGAAACUGGGGCUAAUACCGGCUAGGAAUCCUUGCUGCAUGGUGGGGGUUGGAAAGCUUCGGCGGUUUUGGAUGGACUCGCGGCUUAUCAGCUUGUUGGUGGGGUAGUGGCUUACCAAGGCUUUGACGGGUAGCCGGCCUGAGAGGGCGACCGGCCACAUUGGGACUGAGAUACGGCCCAGACUCCUACGGGAGGCAGCAGUGGGGAAUAUUGCACAAUGGGCGGAAGCCUGAUGCAGCAACGCCGCGUGCGGGAUGACGGCCUUCGGGUUGUAAACCGCUUUCAGCAGGGGCGAAGCUUGUGGUGACGGUACCUGCAGAAGAAGCACCGGCUAACUACGUG